rnacentral:rRNA from 1 species
AUUGAACGCUGGCGGCAGGCUUAAUACAUGCAAGUCGAGCGAGCGGCGGACGGGUGAGUAAUGUCUGGGAAACUGCCUGAUGGAGGGGGCUAACUACUGGAAACGUUAGCUAAUACCGCAUCCCAACAGAUGUGCCCUGAUGGGAUUAGCUAGUAGGUGGGGUAAUGGCUCACCAAGGCGACGAUCCCUAGCUGGUCUGAGAGGAUGAUCGGCCACACGGGGACUGAGACACGGCCCAGACUCCUACGGGAGGCAGCAGUGGGGAAUAUUGCACAAUGGGCGCAAGCCUGAUGGAGCAAUGCCGCGUGUAUGAAGAAGGUCUUAGGGUUGUAAAGUACUUUCGGCAGGGAGGCGUUACCCACAGAGAAAGCAACGGCUAACUCCGUGCCAGCAGCCGCGGUAAUUC